GGGGUGGUUAAGUUAGAUACUUUGUGCUCAGUGCUAUAUUGUACACUAUUGACACUGUCUACAAUUGGCAAGGAUGCAAGAUGGGUUUCGAUUCUGCCUGCACUCCGUCGAGGGACGAGCAUCACGGAUGGGUGACGCCAUCUGACGAACAGGAGGGUCUAUCUCUAUCAGGCCCUGCUUCAUCCCUGCACUGAGACUGUGAAGAGAAGGGUCUGGGCUGCAGACUGGAUCCCUGACAGGAGCCUCUGUCUCUCUGA